AUCCAGCUGACGAGUCCCAAAUAGGACGAUACGCGCAUCCUGGAU
rfam:Schistosoma mansoni strain Puerto Rico chromosome 4, complete genome